UUUAGGUCUCUGAGGUGAUGUCAUCAUGUGUACAGUCAGUUUAUCUAUUCCGGCUCCUGUCCGAUUCCGACAUAUUUCUAGAUUGAAUGGCUGGUACGGAGAGAGUAUGUUUAGAAACUUAAUUUUGUCUGUUGUUUCAUGUAAAGUAAUUAUUUCUUUGUCUACUGAAUGGAUGUUUACAAAAUGUAUGAACUCUUGGUCUGCCAGCGAUUGGAUUUCCAAAACGAGGCUUCAGAUCGGUUGAAUUUCCGGCGCGUUUUUUCGGACGUCUGAAAAGUCGGUGGACAACAUUAAUCUGUUCAAUGACCGAGGUUACCAAAAGAUACAAUUGCCAUGGGAAAGCAGAAGACAAACAGAUCAUCAGUACAUUGUAGUCCAGCUGUAGAGGCAGCAAAAUCUGUAAAGCGGGUAAUUAAUUAUCUUAAUCAAUUAAAUAGUUAUGCGGUAAAAAAUAUUUCAAAGUAUAAUGUGCAUCUUAUAAUGGUACACAUAACAAUUUUGACUUAAAUACCAUUUUGAUUGCUGUGUGUAUCUUAGUUGUGAACUUCCUAAAGCCAUUUUCAAAUUCAUUGAAUACAGAGCACAGUUUCAUACUUAACUUAGCUAUAAAUUAAAAUGUAUGUUAUACUCACGCAGUACUGUAUAAAUAAACUAUGAUAUCAUAGGAAAUAUUUGCCUUUAAUAAAUGUAAACAUAUAAGGUUACAUACAGUAUGAACUGUAAUAAAAAUGAAUACAGUAUGGUACAUGUGGUAUUUUCUCACAUGAUCAGUUGAUCACAUUGUGCAACAAGGUGAACACAAAAGGAUUUAGUUUUUUUUAUUUUACCCCAUGUACAAAGUAUGGGGCUGAAUUGGAUUCACAUCGGUGGGUUGGUCCAGUGUCUGUAAACAAAAGUUGAAAAUCUUUGUGGCCAUUCAACAGAGUCAAAUGAUAUGUUAUACUAAUAUGCAAUACAGUACUCCACAAUUGCCUGUAGGUUUGUUUAAUGAUUCACUUCAAAAUAUACUUGUGGCCAUUUGAAUAUGCCUGUCAUUUAUGACAGGUUGUAUAAUGUGAUCACUUGUAGCUGGUGUGUGGGUGGGCUUCAGAGUUUGAUUUGCUAAAUAACUUAAGUACCCUUGCAUAAUGAACACCAAACUUUGUGUAUAGACAGCUGGUACUUACAUGAAAAUCCCUUUAGAAUUUAGUCAAGGUCAUUGUGGAUAUAAAUAUAAUUUGAGUGUCCGCUUAAUUACUCAAUAGUUUCUGCAUGUAUGGACAGCACAUUUUUAUGUCCACCAGUAUAUGCUGGGGGACAUAUUGAUUUUUGCCCUGUCUGUUGGUCUGUUGGUUUGCGCCAACUUUAACAUUUGCUAUAACUUUUGCCAUAUUGCACAUAGCUACUUGAUAUUUGGCAUGCAUGUCUCUCUCAUGGAUCUGCACAUUUUGAGUGGUGAAUGGUCAAGGUCAAGGUCAUCCUUCAAGGUCGCACAGGUCAAAUACAUGGGUCAAACUCGCUCAUUUCAUUCACACUUUUGCACUAAUUAACAUACCGACUUGAUAUUUGGCUUAAGCUGUAAGAACUUUUUCCCAAAUGUUGUAAAAUUAUUAAGUUUAAACUAAAUUGUUGCUGUAAAUUGUAACAGGUAUGAAUGAGUUAACACAUAACCAAACAAUAAAGAUAUUUUAGAUGUUUGUUGCAGAUGACAUAGGACAUCACUAGGAUAAAAGUAAUAUUUACUCAUUUUAGCAAUUUCUCCUUUUAUCAUAAUGAUUUCUACCCUACCAAAUCAAUUUCUUCCUUCUCUAUCAAAGUUCCAUUUUUUUCUGCAACCUCAUUGAAUUUAGGACAUUCCAAAUGUAUUGUUUGGUAACAAGUUGACACCGAACUUCAUUUUUUCCCCCACAAAAUAUGUGAUAAUAUACUCAAUGAAUAUGCUAGUCCUUUAUGUCUUGUUUGUUAAUUAUAUAUUUUUAUAUAUUUUUAUUUUGUUAUUGAUUUUAAACCUUUCAAUGCUGCAUUUCAAGAUUUGGAAUUAAUGUGUCUAUGGACUGGAUUUAAGCACUUGCAUCCAAUUAGCUCAGCCUUCCAAAAUAGCCAAAAUGAUUUGAGACAGUUUGUAACAAAGAUUCAACUACACGAAUGUGUGUGUUAUCUUUGAAACACAUUGUUGAUAAGACACGCAAAAAAUAUCCAGCAUUGAAAGUGUUAUUUCAACAGGCAGUUGAUUUGCUAGAAAUAAAAUUGUAAAAUUA